rnacentral:tRNA from 1 species
GGCGCGGUGGCCUAAUGGUAAGGCGUUGCUUUCCGGCUUAGGAACAUGGCAAAGAUUGUGGGUUCGAGUCCCAUCCGCGUCG